rnacentral:rRNA from 1 species
GACGAACGCUGGCGGCGUGCCUAAUACAUGCAAGUAGAACGCACAGUUUAUACCGUAGCUUGCUACACCAUAGACUGUGAGUUGCGAACGGGUGAGUAACGCGUAGGUAACCUGCCUGGUAGCGGGGGAUAACUAUUGGAAACGAUAGCUAAUACCGCAUAAUAUUAGUUAUUGCAUGAUAAUUGAUUGAAAGAUGCAACUGCAUCACUACCAGAUGGACCUGCGUUGUAUUAGCUAGUAGGUGAGGUAACGGCUCACCUAGGCGACGAUACAUAGCCGACCUGAGAGGGUGAUCGGCCACACUGGGACUGAGACACGGCCCAGACUCCUACGGGAGGCAGCAGUAGGGAAUCUUCGGCAAUGGACGAAAGUCUGACCGAGCAACGCCGCGUGAGUGAAGAAGGUUUUCGGAUCGUAAAGCUCUGUUGUAAGAGAAGAACGGGUGUGAGAGUGGAAAGUUCACACUGUGACGGUAUCUUACCAGAAAGGGACGGCUAACUACGUG